rnacentral:rRNA from 1 species
GUAGGGAAUAUUGCACAAUGGAGGAAACUCUGAUGCAGCGACGCCGCGUGAGUGAUGAAGGCCUUCGGGUCGUAAAACUCUGUGAUAAAGGAAGAUGAUGACGGUACCUUAUCAGAAAAGACCGGCUAACUUCGUGCCAGCAGCCGCGGUAAUACGAGGGGUCUAAGCGUUGUUCGGAAUCACUGGGCGUAAAGCGGGUGUAGGUGGCUAUGCAAGUUGGAUGUGAAAGCCCCGGGCUCAACCCGGGAAGUGCAUCCAAAACUACGUAGCUUGAGUGCGGGAGAGAAAGGCAGAAUUCCUGGUGUAGUGGUGAAAUACGUAGAUAUCAGGAGGAACUCCGGUGGCGAAGGCGGCCUUUUGGCCCAGCACUGACACUCAGACCCGAAAGCGUGGGUAGCAAACAGGAUUAGAUACCCGGGUAGUCC